UAGUCCACGCAGUAAACGAUGAGUGCUAGUUAUUGGGAUCUUUGAUUUCGGUGGCGAAGCUAACGCGUUAAGCACUCCGCCUGGGGAGUACGGCCGCAAGGCUAAAACUCAAAGGAAUUGACGGGGACCCGCACAAGCAGUGGAGCAUGUGGUUUAAUUCGAUGCUACGCGAAAAACCUUACCAGCUCUUGCAUCCUAGUCGCGAUUUUCAGAGAUGAAUUUCUCAGUUCGGCUGGACUAGUGACAGGUGUUGCAUGGCUGUCGUCAGCUCGUGUCGUGAGAUGUUAGGUUAAGUCCUUCAACGAGCGCAACCCUCAUCCUUAUUUGCCAUCGAGUUAUGUCGGGAACUAUAAGGAAACUGCCAACGACAAGUUGGAGGAAGGUGGGGACGAUGUCAAGUCAUCAUGGCCCUUAUGGGCUGGGCUACACACAUGCUACAAUGGUGGUUACAACGGGUAUGCAAUGCAGCAAUGCUGAGCUAAUCCUUA
rnacentral:rRNA from 1 species